GGCCUCGUAGCUCAGCUGGUAGGGCGUGCGCAUACAAAGCGUAGGCGGUAUCCACGCGUGAGUUCGAAGCCCAUCGAGGCUA
rnacentral:tRNA from 1 species